rnacentral:lncRNA from 1 species
AACAUCUUCUUGUCUAGUUAAUUGCUCCUUUACACAAAAUAAAUACUGAUUAGCAGCAUCUAGUGGCUCUAAUGAUUAGAAUAAAGUAACAAGUCAGAAAUUAUUAAUAAUAGGUCAGUGGAUAGCCAAUGAAGGCUAAGUUGGAGGUCGACAAGAUAAGUGGUCCCUUGCAAUAUCAAUCGAAGACCCAUCAUUGGGGUCAACCUAAAAUCACAUAAUAAGGUAUAUGGGAUCCUUGUGUCAAGAUUCACUAACUUUGGUA